CAGGACUAACGCUGGCGGCGUGCCUAACACAUGCAAGUCGAACGAAUCAUCUUUGUAGCAAUAUAGAAGAUGGUGAGUGGCGCACGGGUGAGUAAUACAUAGAUGAUCUGCCUUUCAGACUGGGAUAACUCAGGGAAACUUGAGCUAAUACCAGAUAAGACCACAUGAAGGGAUUCACGUGACCAAAGGGUGAGCAAUCUCCUGCUGGAAGAUGAGUCUAUGUCCUAUCAGUUAGUUGGUGGGGUAAAGGCCUACCAAGACGAAGACGGGUAGCCGGCCUGAGAGGGUGAACGGCCACACUGGAACUGAGACACGGUCCAGACUCCUACGGGAGGCAGCAGUGAGGAAUUUUCCGCAAUGGGCGAAAGCCUGACGGAGCGACGCCCGCGUGAGGGAUGAAGGUUUUCGGAUCGUAAACCUCUUUUAUCAAGGAAAAAGGCUUUAAUGCGAAUAACAUUAAAGUUUGAUUGUACUUAAUGAAUAAGCCCCGGCUAACUACGUGCCAGCAGCCGC
rnacentral:rRNA from 1 species